rnacentral:rRNA from 1 species
UCAGUCCAGCGGUAACAGAUCUAGCUUGCUAUAUGCUGACGAGCGGCGGACGGGUGAGUAAUGCAUAGGAAUCUGCCCGGUAGUGGGGGAUAACCUGGGGAAACCCAGGCUAAUACCGCAUACGUCCUACGGGAGAAAGGGGGCUUCGGCUCCCGCUAUUGGAUGAGCCUAUGUCGGAUUAGCUAGUUGGUGAGGUAAAGGCUCACCAAGGCAACGAUCCGUAGCUGGUCUGAGAGGAUGAUCAGCCACAUCGGGACUGAGACACGGCCCGAACUCCUACGGGAGGCAGCAGUGGGGAAUAUUGGACAAUGGGGGCAACCCUGAUCCAGCCAUGCCGCGUGUGUGAAGAAGGCCCUCGGGUUGUAAAGCACUUUCAGCGAGGAAGAACGCCUAGUGGUUAAUACCCAUUAGGAAAGACAUCACUCGCAGAAGAAGCACCGGCUAACUCCGUGCCAGCAGCCGCGGUAAUACGGAGGGUGCAAGCGUUAAUCGGAAUUACUGGGCGUAAAGCGCGCGUAGGUGGCUUGAUAAGCCGGUUGUGAAAGCCCCGGGCUCGACCUGGGAACGGCAUCCGGAACUGUCAGGCUAGAGUGCAGGAGAGGAAGGUAGAAUUCCCGGUGUAGCGGUGAAAUGCGUACAGAUCGAGAGGAAUACCAGUGGCGAAUGCGGCCUUCUGGACUGACACUGACACUGAGGUGCGAAAGCGUGGGUAGCGAACAGGAUUAGAUGCCCUGGUAGU